rnacentral:misc_RNA from 1 species
UUGGUCUCCGAUAGGAAGAUCCAAAACGCGCGCACCAGUUCGUUGUCGCGCACCGCAUCCAGUGACUGAACUCCGAGCCGUCUCAGCAUCGCCUCGGUGAAUUCCUUGCGGAUGGCCGGUUCAAACGCCCCCAGCGCCUUCUCGAGACCCGGCUGGUCAGCGAGGCCGAGCAGACAUUCCGCCAGCCGCGUGACGUUCCAGAACAAUGCAUCGGGCUGACGGCCAUAGGCAUAAAGCCCGGUCUCGUCGAAAUAUGCGGCGGUGAAACCCGGCUCCAGCACUGGAAGAAACCGCCACGGGCCGUAGUCGAAGCUUUCGCCGGUGAUAUUGAUGUUGUCGGUGUUGAGCACACCA